rnacentral:rRNA from 1 species
GACAGAGGGUGCAAACGUUGUUCGGAAUUACUGGGCGUAAAGCGCGUGUAGGCGGCAGCGUGUGUCGGGCGUGAAAUCCCACGGCUCAACCGUGGAAGUGCACCCGAAACUGCGCAGCUAGAGUCCUGGAGAGGAAGGCGGAAUACUUGGUGUAGAGGUGAAAUUCGUAGAUAUCAAGUGGAACACCGGUGGCGAAGGCGGCCUUCUGGACAGUGACUGACGCUGAGACGCGAAGGCCAGGGGAGCAAACGGG